AGUGAACGCUGGCGGCAGGCCUAACACAUGCAAGUCGAGCGGCAGCGGGUUCCCGCGAGGGGAUGCCGGCGAGCGGCGGACGGGUGAGGAACACAUCGGAAUCUGCCUGGUUGUGGGGGGAUAACGUAGGGAAACUUACGCUAAUACCGCAUGCGACCCUGAGUCGACGGACUGGGGGUGAAAGUGGAGGGACCUUCGGGCCUCACGCGACCAGAUGA
rnacentral:rRNA from 1 species